GGUAGUAGCAAAUAAUCGAAUGAGAUCUUGGAUGACUGAAGUGGAGAAGGGUUCCGUGUGAACAGUGGUUGAUCACGGGUUAGUCGGUCCUAAGCUCUAAGCGAAAGCUUAUGUCAUAUAUAAAAGUCAUAUUUAGUUGACUUUAUAUUGAGCGAAAGGGAAUACGGUUCCAAUUCCGUACCUAUUGAGUAUACGUUUAUUGUGGGUCCUAUUUUUUCGGAAAUAGGUUUAAAGCUCAUCCUGGUAACAGAAGCUACCAUAGAGAAGCCGUCGAAGCAUACCGAAAGAGUUAUCUCUUCUGUUUCAUAACUGUAUUACCAUGGAAGUCUUUUGAAGAGAGAUAUGGUAAAUAAGUUAGAAGAGCAUGGCGUUUAUUGCUGUGUCGGGUAUGUGUUCCACGGACCUUGAAAAUCUAUGGUAGGGCCACGUAAAUAUUCUCAAUAGUCCGUACCGAAUAUCCGCAGCAGGUCUCCAAGAUUAAGAGUCUCUAGUC
rnacentral:ncRNA from 1 species